rnacentral:rRNA from 1 species
AUUGAACGCUGGCGGCAUGCCUUACACAUGCAAGUCGAACGGUAACAGGUCUUCGGAUGCUGACGAGUGGCGAACGGGUGAGUAAUACAUCGGAACGUGCCUAGUAGUGGGGGAUAACUACUCGAAAGAGUGGCUAAUACCGCAUGAGAUCUACGGAUGAAAGCAGGGGAUCGCAAGACCUUGUGCUACUAGAGCGGCCGAUGGCAGAUUAGGUAGUUGGUGGGAUAAAAGCUUACCAAGCCGACGAUCUGUAGCUGGUCUGAGAGGACGAUCGGGCACCCUGGGACUGAGACACGGCCCAGACUCCUACGGGAGGCAGCAGUGGGGAAUUUUGGACAAUGGGCGCAAGCCUGAUCCAGCAAUGCCGCGUGCAGGAUGAAGGCCUUCGGGUUGUAAACUGCUUUUGUACGGAACGAAAAGCCCUGGGUUAAUACCCUGGGGUCAUGACGGUACCGUGAGAAUAAGCACCGGCUAACUACGUGCCAGCAGCCGCCGUAAAAC